CAUAGUCGCCGCGGUUGUCCUGAUGCUCGCCGCGACGGCGACGGCGCAUUUCCGGAUGGACCUCAUGGACGGCUACAAGCCUCAGGCACGGAGGAGCAACGGCGGAGGCGGCGGCGGGGCAUUCGACUUCAUGAAAUUAUGGUAAUUUUGGCUGGAGCAUGGUUCUAUUAAGGAGUUCGGCGGCCUGAGGAACGUAUGUGUAUAUGACGCAUGCGACGCAUCUGGCCUAGAUAUAAGAUUUUUUUUCUUCAGAAUCGAAAGACAACAUUUAUAUUUUGCUAUCUGCAUGUAUUGUACAAUCACUCCAUCCAAGGACAGGUCCGGCCCUAAGGGCGGGUGAAAGGGGUGACCGCCCUGGCCCGUCCAUGAAAGGGCCUCAGCCCAUAUCAGCACAUACAUAUCUUGUAUAAUCUGCAUACAUAUUGAUGUAAAAAAAAGAUGUAAAUCUGUAUACAUUUUUUUGCUCA